rnacentral:misc_RNA from 1 species
GAUGAAGAACGUAGCGAAAUGCGAUACUUGGUGUGAAUUGCAGAAUCCCGUGAACCAUCGAGUCUAUGAACGCAAGUUGCGCCCGAAGCCAUUAGGCCGAGGGCACGCCUGCCUGGGCGUCACACGUCGUUGCCCCCCCAUCUACUCCUUCGGGAUUGCGGGGGGCGGAUGAUGGCCUCCCGUGCGCCUCGUCGCGCGGUUGGCAUAAAUGCCAAGUCCUCGGCGACGCACGCCACGACAAUCGGUGGUUGCGAAACCUCGGUUGCCCGUCGUGUGCGGUCGUCGCGCAUCGAGGGCUCGAAAAAAUUGCCGGGCUCCGGCUUGGCUUUCAACGCGACCCCAGGUCAGGCGGGGUUACCCGCUGAAUUUAAGCAUAUCAAUAAGCGGAGGA